ensembl:lncRNA
UUUUUUUUUUUUUUCCUUUUUAGGGCCACACUAGUGGCAUGUGAAGGUUCCCAGGCUAGGGGUCUAAUCGGAGCUACAGCUGCUGGACUGCACCACAGCCACAGCAACGCAGGAUCCGAGCCACGUCUGCAACCUAUGCCACAGCUCACGGCAAUGCCGGAUCCUUAACCCACUGAGCAAGGCCAGGGAUCAAACCUGCAACCUCAGGUUUCUAGUCAGAUUCGUUUCUGCUGUGCCACAAUGGGAACUCGCACUGUAUCUUAAGGUUGCCCCCAUCUUAUGUGUUUGACCUGGAGUGUCCUGGUUCCGAAAAACCGAGCUCACCUUUCCUAUCAAGUUCCACAGACUGUAGUUACAGCAAGGAUUCCUGUCUGUGUGGAUUAACUUGCAUGUCAGAAUCUACAUCUACUGCAUCUGAUUUCCUCUAGAAGGGAGCCAGGGGAAGUGGAGUUUUCUGAAGGGAGAGAAUGCAGAUGUGAAGUGAGCAGCAGAGUAUAGCGGACUCAGUCUGAAGGGGCUGGAUCAAACAGCACCUCCAUCCAAGGAGCCACUGUAGCUCCAGAACCUCCCGUCUCCUAAAGGUCAAGCCAUGUGUGUGUGUGUGUGUGUGUGUGUGUGUGUGUGUGUGUGUGUGUGUGAGAGAGAGAGAGAGAGAGAGACACUUUGGACUCACCUAAGAAAGCAUUCUGAUUGAAAACAGAAAACCAAGAGCUUCAAAAUACAAUCUGUUUGCAUAAGAAACUUCAAGAGGAAGAUGUGCCGAAGGGAGAGAAGGCUUUCCGCAGAUUUCAGAAAACCUUCUAACAAGAAAGUGUCCGUUUUUGACUCUCCAAGGAGCAACCAGAGUAACAGUGUCUCCAGCUGUUCCUGCCUCUGUCUCGGGGGCUGCUGGGAAUGGAAUGAAGCUCCCUCCACCAAAUCCAGCCCGGGUUUUCAUUUUUUCCCCCUGCCCAUCUUCACCCAAGGCUAACCUGGCAGAGCCAAGGCUCACUUCCCUCCUACUCACUGUGGGAAAAAAAAAACCACUCAGGCACUUUGAAAAGGUCAAAGGGGAAAGGGCAGCCGUGGGACUGAGAAGCGGGAAAGAGAAGGGAGCUUGGCAAGAAAACUAGGUCCUUAAUAAUGUGGAUGGGGUUUUGCUCUACCCUUCCAAAAUGCCCACGUCUGGAGACAGCCUGCUCUGCUGUAAAUCUGCUACUUCAAACACCGAGAAACAGGAUUGCUCUUAAUCCCUUAAACCUAAUUAUCAAAGAGACGUUUACUCACCAGCAGCCGCUCCCUUCUGCUUUCUGGUGACCGCUCAUCAUCUGUGUUCCACCACGAAGCUCAUGGUGGUGCCGUCAAAGGAGGGGGGGGCAAUGAUCCUCGGCCCCAGGGGCUGCGAAGUGAUGCUGAUGACAGGCUUACCGUGCAGCUGAGCGAAGCCCUUGGCCCCCACCAGCUGGGAUGUGGCUGCUGGAGCAGAGGAGGAAGAGGAGGCGGGAGACUGACCAGAGGCCAUGAAGUAGGGGGCCUCAGGAAACGGGGCAGCUGCCUCUUUGCUGGGGGGCUCUGCUGCCAUGGGCGAGAGCUCACCGCCCCCCGGAGUGUGAGCAAUUGGUGUGGGCUGCAGGGCGUUGGCGGGCAGCACCGUGGGGAGAAACCCGGGGUAGAUCAUGUAGGUGGGUCCGUAGGCCCCCGGACUCAGGGCCAGGGGAGGCACAGGGAGGGACAUGGGAGCCAAAGCCUGCUGCUGGGAGGUCAUGGGCACAUCCACAUACUGCCCUGUCUCGGGGUCAAACAGUCUCCGGGUAAUGGGCUGCACUGGUGUGUCCACCAGAUAGUACUGGCCAGUCGUCACGUCCAGGAGCAUCUUGCGCUGGGUCUGCUGAGGCUGUGGCUGCUGGAAGGGGUCCGUGGGAACCGCAGCUGGGCCUGCCGGGGCUGGGGCAGGCAUGCCUGGCGGGGAGAAGCAGAGGACCUGGGGCUGGGCCCCCUGCAGGGUGAAGGGCAGUGGCUGCUGGUGGUAGAUGGCUGUGGGGGGGUGCUCGGGGCUCUGUGGCCCCGUGGGGGCAGCUACCGUCUCCCGGGGAUUAUCAGGUUUGGUGCGCCAAGCCGGCCGGCUGGUUCCACUGACCUGAGAGCCUUUGGGGCUACUGGGGACCUGGCUGCGGGCACUCAGGGGGGGCAAGCUGCAGAGAGUGGCCGCCGAGGAGGCUGGGGGCCCCUCCCUGCCAGCCCCAGGCCUGCCCGCGAGCUCCCCAGCUGCAGAGCUUCCCUUAAGAGGGAUGGUCAGGUAGUUCUCACUGUCACUGUUCCUCUUUUCCAAAGUGCUGCCGUUUUUCC